rnacentral:lncRNA from 1 species
GGUAGUUAUGGCUUGUCCAAGGUAUUUCGGUGACGGUCCUCCGCUGCGCGAGCGUGACUCGUGCUUCAGUGAGGACAUCAGCCAGAGGAUGCGCGUGCCCGAUCGCCUGAGGGUCGGUCCAGCGCGUCACGCGCACGCACCUGCUGACCAAAGAUCCGAAGAGCUACCUGCUGCCUACAGCAUGCACAUACCAGACAGACUGUCCUUAACAGAUACUCCUGAUCUGAGUCCACGACCUCUCUUCACUAAACACACUUCAUCAAUGUGGGACCUGCAGCACGGGUCCUGGGACAGGGAGGCGUUCAUGAGAGAGCCUGUCCAGAGUCCACUGCGAAGAUCUUAUAGUGACCAGGCUAUUGGUCGAACCCCACCUGGAACCCCCACACACUCCAGACAAACACUUCGCUCCCAGUCUCCUGCCUCGCAGGAGUUCUGGCUCAGUCCUGAGGAGGACACAGGUACUGCUGUCGAGUUCAUGGUGCUCCGCAGACAGGUGGUGAAGAUGAGCAGGAGGAUAGCAGGGGUGGAGAGACAGAACGCAGAGCACAAACAGACAGAGCUGGUGCUGUUCUCUCUGUUACUGUCUGCCUGUCUGAUCAACGGCUGGCUGUGGAUGCGCAGAUGACGGAUCACACUCCAUAACACUACACUAUACAGACAGCACUACAAGAGCAACAGAGCUGUUUACCGGGAAGUGCAUAACUGCACAUAGUUUUUAUAGUGCUUUACUAAAUUUGUUCUCUACAAAAUGAUGGUAAAUGGAUGGUUUAGAAACCACUCCUAUAGAGGAUUGUCAUCAGAAUGAGGCAUGAAUGUCUGAACCAUCCACUCGUAUGUGUCGUGAUCACGGUAGUGACAUGGGCUACUUUGUGUUACAAGUGAUUUGAGGAACUUGAGCAUGUUUUUCUCCUCGUGAGAGUUUCACUGAUGAUGUCAUUCAGUAAUGCAGUCUCUCUGGCUCUUUUGAUCAGACUAGUAGCUAGGUUUUGUAUUUGAUUUAUUCUGCAAAUUAAGUAAAUGCAAAAAUAGAUUUCCUGCAUGCUUUACAAGCCUCACAGCUAAGUAUUUAAGAAAGUAUAAAUAUGAGUAUUUAUUUAUAUUUCCUUUUUUUCUACCAAUUGGGCAUUUGAAUAGCCUUCAGCCAUUUUAACUCACUUGCCCAGCCUGAUGUAUGAUGAAUAUUUAAAAUAAUAAAAAUUGUAAUUAGUCUCAGAUGUCUCAUUCUCUUA